rnacentral:rRNA from 1 species
GAUCUGAGGUAAUGAUUAAAAGGAACAGUCGGGGACAUUCGUAUUGCUGCGUUAGAGGUGAAAUUCUUGGAUCGCAGUAAGACGAACAACUGCGAAAGCAUUUGUCAAGGAUGUUUUCAUUGAUCAAGAACGAAAGUUAGAGGUUCGAAGGCGAUCAGAUACCGCCCUAGUUCUAACUGUAAACGAUGCCAACUAGCGAUUCGUUCAUGUUACUACUACGAUUGGACGAGAAUCUUGCGGGAAACCAAAGUUAUCAGGUUCCUGGGGAAGUAUAGUUGCAAAGCUGAAACUUAAAGGAAUUGACGGAAGGGCACCACCAGGAGUGGAGCCUGCGGCUUAAUUUGACUCAACACGGGAAAUCUCACCCGGCCCGGACAUUGAAAGGAUUGACAGAUCGAGAGCUCUUUCUUAAUUCGAUGGAUAGUGGUGCAUGGCCGUUCUUAGUUGGUGGAGCGAUUUGUCUGGUUAAUUCCGAUAACGAACGAGACUCUGCCGUGUUAAAUAGUGAACAUGCAGACAAGGCGGUGCUCACUUCUUAAAAGGACAAGCGGAAAAGAACCGCACGAAGUGGAGCAAUAACAGGUCUGUGAUGCCCUUAGAUGUCCGGGGCUGCACGCGCGCCACACUGAUAAACUCAGCGCGCCUAUCUUCCUUCGUCUGUCGAGACGAAGUAAUCGCAUGAAUUCGUAUCAUGAUUGGAAUAAGGAAUUGAAAUUGGCAUCUUUGAACGAGGAAUUCCCAGUAAGUGCGGGUCAUGAACUCGCACUGAUUACGUCCCUGCCCUUUGUAC